rnacentral:ncRNA from 1 species
CAUCUUCAGGGCAGGGUGUAAUUCCCGACCGGCGGUACAGUCCGCGAGCCAAGUGGCAUGAUCCGGUGUGAUUCCGGAACCGACAGUAGAGUCUGGAUGGAAGAAGAUG